rnacentral:rRNA from 1 species
UACGAAGGGUGCAAGCGUUACUCGGAAUUACUGGGCGUAAAGCGUGCGUAGGUGGUGAGUUAAGUCUGUCGUGAAAUCCCCAGGCUCAACCUGGGAACUGCGUCUGAUACUGGAUGGCUUGAAUCCGGGAGAGGGAUGCAGAAUUCCAGGUGUAGCGGUGAAAUGCGUAGAUAUCUGGAGGAACACCGGUGGCGAAGGCGGCGUUCUGGACUGCAACUGACACUGAGAGACGAAAGCCAGGGGAGCAAACGGG